GCCACAUUUUCCAUUCAGGGUAGCAAACAGUAUGCCAGAUUUGGCUUGCAGAUGGGGUUUUGGCCCACAUAUUUUUUAAAAUUUCACAUAAAAUAUUCAUUGAGGAGUCCAGAUUUUUAGCCUCUCUUGUAAAGUUGGACUCUGGCAGUGCAGAUCCACAUUCCCACAUGGCAUCAAAGUUCCCCUUUGAAGAGCACGCCCUUUGCCUUUCUCCUUCACUUGUCUGGCCCUGGUGGGCUGUGUAGUCUGCCACCCUCAGGGGAUUCGUUUUCCAGCCAAACCUUGCUCGGCCACUGUUCUUAUCUCCAUGCAGCCCAAUGGAACUGAAAAAUCUGGAGUAUAGGCCAGUGAAGGUCAGGGGGUGCUUUGACCAUUCCAAGGAGCUGUAUAUGAUGCCCCGGACCAUGGUGGACCCUGUCCGGGAGGCCCGGGAGGGCGGCCUCAUCUCCUCCUCAACUCAGAGUGGGGCCUAUGUGGUCACUCCCUUCCACUGCACCGACCUGGGAGUCACCAUCCUGGUAAAUAGAGGGUUCGUUCCCAGGAAGAAAGUGAAUCCUGAAACCCGGCAGAAAGGCCAGAUUGAGGGAGAAGUGGACCUCAUUGGGAUGGUGAGGCUGACAGAAACCAGGCAGCCUUUUGUCCCUGAGAACAAUCCAGAAAGGAACCACUGGCAUUAUCGAGACCUGGAAGCUAUGGCCAGAAUCACAGGCGCAGAGCCCAUCUUCAUUGAUGCCAACUUCCAGAGCACAGUCCCUGGAGGACCCAUUGGAGGGCAAACCAGAGUUACUCUGAGGAACGAGCAUCUGCAGUACAUCGUGACCUGGUAUGGACUCUCUGCAGCUACAUCCUACCUGUGGUUUAAGAAAUUCCUACGUGGGACACCUGGUGUGUGACAGAUCAGCUGCUGAAGCCCUGUCCCUGGAUAAUGCAG
rnacentral:misc_RNA from 1 species